UGAGGGAAUAUUGGGUCAAUGGGCGGAAGCCUGAACCAGCCAUGCCGCGUGAAGGACUAAGGCCCUAUGGGUCGUAAACUUCUUUAGACGCAGAGCAAUAAGGGUCUCGCGAGAUCCGAUGAGAGUAUGCGUAGAAUAAGCAUCGGCUAACUCCGUGCCAGCAGCCGCGGUAAUACGGAGGAUGCGAGCGUUAUCCGGAUUUAUUGGGUUUAAAGGGUGCGCAGGCGGCGCGAAAAGUCAGCGGUCAAAGUUCCGGGCUCAACCCGGUGACGCCGUUGAAACUUUCGGGCUGGAGUUCGUGCGAGGGAGGCGGAAUGCGUUGUGUAGCGGUGAAUGCAUAGAUAUGACGCAGA
rnacentral:rRNA from 1 species